rnacentral:rRNA from 1 species
UACGGAGGAUGCGGGCGUUAUCCGGAUUUAUUGGGUUUAAAGGGUGCGCAGGCGGCGUGUCAAGUCAGCGGUAAAAUGUCGGGGCUCAACCCCGGCCGGCCGUUGAAACUGGCGUGCUCGAGUUGGAGAGAAGUAUGCGGAAUUCGUGGUGUAGCGGUGAAAUGCAUAGAUAUCACGAAGAACCCCGAUUGCGAAGGCAGCAUACCGGCUCCACACUGACGCUGAGGCACGAAAGCGUGGGUAUCGAGCAGG